rnacentral:rRNA from 1 species
UACGUAGGGUGCGAGCGUUGUCCGGAAUUAUUGGGCGUAAAGAGCUUGUAGGCGGUCUGUCGCGUCUGCUGUGAAAAUCCGGGGCUCAACCCCGGACUUGCAGUGGGUACGGGCAGACUAGAGUGUGGUAGGGGAGACUGGAAUUCCUGGUGUAGCGGUGAAAUGCGCAGAUAUCAGGAGGAACACCAAUGGCGAAGGCAGCUCGCUGGGACGGUACUGACGCUAAGGCGCGAAAGCGUGGGGAGCAAACAGG